rnacentral:rRNA from 1 species
AGGGAUCAUUAAAAGAGAUGGCGGGCCCCCGCGCCCCCGUCCCCAACCCUUUGUUGACCAAAACAAUUUUGCCUCGGGGGCAGAGUGGCCUCCGCGCCGCCGCCCCCAGAGGACCACUCAACCCUGUCUCUGUACGUCGGAGUCUUUGAUAAAUCAAUCAAAACUUUCAACAACGGAUCUCUUGGUUCUGGCAUCGAUGAAGAACGCAGCGAAAUGCGAUAAGUAAUGUGAAUUGCAGAAUUCAGUGAAUCAUCGAAUCUUUGAACGCACAUUGCGCCCUUUGGCAUUCCGAGGGGCAUGCCCGUUCGAGCGUCAUUAACACCACUCAAGCCUAGCUUGGUAUUGGGCGUCGGGGACUUCCCCGCGCCUCCAUGUCGCCGGCUGGCCGUCGUCUGACUUAGCGUUGUGACACAUGUCGCUAAAGAAGACGCCGGAUCACGCCGUUAAACUCCUUGAAUGUUCGUCGAAUGUUCAGUACAGGUUGACCUCGGAUCGGGUAGGAAUACCCGCUGAACUUAAGCAUAUCAAUAAGCGGAGGAAAAGAAACCAACAGGGAUUGCCCUAGUAACGGCGAGUGAAGCGGCANCAGCUCAAAUUUGAAAUCUGGCGCAAGCCCGAGUUGUAAUUUGUAGAGGAUGCUUCGAANCAGCGGCUGGUCUAAGUUUCUUGGAACAGGACGUCAUAGAGGGUGAGAAUCCCGUAUGUGACUGGCUAGCACUUCAUACGUAGCUCCUUCGACGAGUCGAGUUGUUUGGGAGUGCAGCUCUAAAUGGGAGGUAAAUUUCUUCUAAAGCUAAAUACCGGCCAGAGACCGAUAGCGCACAAGUAGAGUGAUCGAAAGAUGAAAAGCACUUUGGAAAGAGAGUUAAAAAGCACGUGAAAUUGUUGAAAGGGAAGCGCUUGCAACCAGACUUGUUAACGGUGUUCCGCCGGUCUUCUGACCGGUCCACUCACCGUCUGCAGGCCAGCAUCGUCUGGGGCCGCCGGAUAAAGACGUGAGGAAUGUAGCACCCUUCGGGGUGUGUUAUAGCCCCACGUGCAAUACGGCGCGACCCGGGCGAGGUCCGCGCUCGGCUAGAUGCUGGUUUUNNACCCNNGGUNNCCCG